UGCAGUAGUAGCAGGGCUGAGCAUUUAUUCCCUGGAGGUAUACAUUCAUAUACAUACACAUACAUAUACAUAUACAGCCCCAGACCUGCCUCCACUUAUGGAUCUUCCUGAUCCUGACUGUGACCUACAAACCGAGGUCCUGUCUUGACUUUGGGCCUACCAUAUCAACAUGAGCUUGCCUGAUGAUCUGGAGUCGUGGUUGGACCUGGCUUGUUAGCUUGUCUCUGCAGGAGAUGAUCACUGGACUGUCUUUGGGACUUACUUUCACCAUCCUGCUUGCCUGCCUCUGAUGGAGGGGCAGGCCCUGGCUCAUUAGGCCCCUGACAUGUUACCACAGUCAGCUCCCCAACCCCUGGGGAGCAACCAGCCAUCACUGCUCCUCGACACUCUGGGUCAUCUUACAGACUGAGGAGGGCUACUGCCUACAGGGGAAUGGGUUUCAUAUGGGAUACUUGUUAUGGGAUAUUUAAGGGAGAAGGUAAAGAUGGGGAAAGGGGAGAAACCAGAUGGUUUGGGGAGAAACAAGUAUGGGAAAAUAGAAGGAAAGGGGAUAAAAUGUACCAGUCACAUGUGAUCAGGUUGCUGUUCAGGAGUGAUAACUGAAUGUGAUGACUGCAGUCUGUUCUGUCUUAUUACAUACAGCGUGUGUGCAUGUGUGUUUGUCACCAUAGCAGCCUCCAAUCUAUAGGGUUGGGCCAGGACUGCCCCAGGACUCAAGGCAUGCUGGAUUUAGUAGCCUUCUGAAAGCAAGGAUGGCAUGCCCAGAAAGCCCUGUUUUGAUGGCUAGAUCUAAUACAAAUAAAUCAAUCAAUAAAUAAGUGGCAGGCAAAAGAAAGUGAGACACCUAAGGGACACGUGAGCAAUUUUUGUGCUGUAGCUACUACUGCAGUUUAAGACAUUCAGAUUAAUAAAGUUUUGUAUGGAAUAGCCCCUGCUUGCUUUGAUUUACCACUGGUAUUUGAUAGCAAGAAAUACUUCCACUUCAUCCAGGAUGGACCUUAAUCAGCCUUGUUUCUGCCAUUCCAAAGUCUCAGAUAGCCAAGAAGAAAGUAUUGAGUUGUAGUUGUUGAAAGUAGGAGGUGAAAUGUGACAUUAACAUGCCAACAUUACCUUACUUCAUAGCAACAUAAAUCCCUACAUAGAAGACUACCACACGUCA